rnacentral:rRNA from 1 species
GCGGAGGGAUCAUUAAAGAGUUCUAUAACUCCCAAACCCAUGUGAACAUACCUAACGUUGCCUCGGCAGGUCGCACCUACCUUGUAGCACCCUACCCUGUAGGGCCUACCCGGGAGGUGCGGGUAAGCCUGCCGGCGGCCCACCAAACUCUGUUUGAUAUUGAAUUCUGAACCUAUAACUAAAUAAGUUAAAACUUUCAACAACGGAUCUCUUGGUUCUGGCAUCGAUGAAGAACGCAGCGAAAUGCGAUAAGUAAUGUGAAUUGCAGAAUUCAGUGAAUCAUCGAAUCUUUGAACGCAUAUUGCGCCCAUUAGUAUUCUAGUGGGCAGGACCGUUCGAGCGUCAUUUCAACCCUUAAGCCUUCGUUGCUUAGUGUUGGGAGCCUACGGCAACGUAGCUCCUCAAAGUUAGUGGCGGAGUUGGUUCACACUCUAGACGUAGUAAUUUUUUAUCUCGCCUAUUAGUUGGACUAAUCCCCUGCCGUAAAACCCCUAAUUUAUCAAGGUUGACCUCGAAUCGGUUCAGACAAACUCGCUAAAUUGAAGCAUCUUAGUCAGCGAAGGAAAAGAAACCAACAGGGAUUGCCCUAGUAACGG